rfam:Gossypium arboreum cultivar AKA8401 contig_19193_5, whole genome shotgun sequence.
UGUUAAAAAUUUUAUCCAUUUCUACAGUUAAAAACUAGUGUUACUGUCAGACUAAUCAGAAAGUUACACAUGGCGUGCCACAUGUACCUCAUUAUGAUAUACAACAUUAGAAAUGGAUGAAAUUUUUAACA